rnacentral:lncRNA from 1 species
CCAUUGUGGCACAGCAGAAACGAAUCUGACUAGGAACCAUGAGGUUGCAAGUUCGAUCUCUGGCUUCGCUCAGUGAGUUAAGGAUAUGGUGUUGCCAUGAGCCAUGGUGAAGGUCGCAAACUCUGCUCAGAUCCUGCAUUGCUGUGGCUGUGGCCAGCAGCUGUAUCUCCGAUUCAACCCCUAGCCUGGGAACCUCCAUAUGCCAUGGUGUGACCCUAAAAAGCAAAAUAUAUAUUUUUUUAUUAUUUUUAUUGUAGUUGAUUUACAAUAUUAUGUCAAUUUCUGCUGUACAUAUAUACAGCAUACAUACAUAUAUAUAUAUAUACACACACACAUUCCUUGCAGUCAUAUAUAUGCAUUCUUUUUCUCACAUUAUCCUCCAUCAUGUUUCAUCAGAAGUGGCUAGACAUAGUUCCCUGUGCUACACAACAGGAUCUCAUUGCUUAUUCACUCCAAAUGCAAGAGUUUGCAUCUUCUAACCCCAAACUCCAAAUCCAUCCCACUCCCUCUCUCUUCCCCUUGGCAACCACAAGUCUGUUCUCUACAUCCAUGAGGUUUUUUUUCUAUAGAUAGGUUUAUUUGUGCCAUAUAUUAGGUUCCACAUGUAAGUGAUAUCAUAUGGUAUUUGUCUUUCUCCUUCUGACUUACAUCACGUAGUAUGAGAAGCUCUAGUUCCAUCCAUGUUGCUGCAGAUGGCAUUAUUUUGUUCUUUUUUUGGCUGAGUAGUAUUCCACUGUGUAUGUAUACCACAUCUUCUUAAUCCAUUCAUCUGUUAAUGGACAUUUAGGUUGUUUCCAUGUCUUGGCUAUUGUGAAUAGUGCUGCAAUGAACAUAAAGGUGCAUGUAUCUUUUUGAAUGAAAAUUUUGUCUGGAUGUAUGCCCAGGAGUAGGAUUGCUGGGUCAUAUGGUAGUUCUAUAUUUAGUUUUCUGAGGUACCGCCAUACUGUUUUCCAUAGUGGUUGUACCAAUUUACAUUCCCACCAACAGUGAAGGAGGGUGUAGAUUUCUAUGUCCGUUUUUUGCCUCACUAAAUUUAUUCCUAAGCAUUUUAUUUCUUUAGAUGGUAUUGUAUAUGCAAUUGUUUUAUUGAUUUUUCUUUACAGGUAAUUCAUUGUUAGUGUAGAGAAACAGAACUGAUUUUUGUCUGUUGUGUAUCCUGCAACUUUGCUAAGUUCACUUAUUAGUUCUAACAGUUUUUUGUGGAAUAUUUAGGUUUUUCUUUCUUUCUUUUUUUUUUUUUUUUCUUUUUGAGGCUGCACACAUGGCAUGUGGAAGUUCCCAGGCUAGGGGUCAAAUUGGAGCUAGAGCUGCUGGCCUACACCACAGCCACAGCAAUGCCAAAUCCAAGCCACAUCUGGGACCUACGCCACAGCUCACGGCAACACCAGAUCCUUAACCCACUGAGCAAGGCCAGGGAUUGAACCUGCAACCUCAUGGUUCCUAUUCGGAUUCGUUUCUGCUGUGCCAUGAAUAGGAACUCCAAGGUUUUUCUACAUGUAAGGUCAUGCUGUCUGCAAACAGACAUAAUUGUACCUCUUCCUUGCCAAUUUGGAUCCCUUCUAUUUCUUUUUCUUGCCUAAUUGUUCUGGCUUGGACUUCUGUUCUGUGUUGAAUAGCAGUAGUGAAAGUGGCGUCCUUCUCUCCUUCUUGAUCUUAGAGGAGAAGCUUUCAGUGCUUCACCAUUGAGUGUGAAGCUAGCUCUGGGCUUUUCAUAUAAUAAGCCCUUUGUUUAAUAGCAGGAAUUUCCUUCUAUUCCAAGGGUGCCAAUAUUUUGUGAAACUGGCACUAUGUCUCCAGAGAUUUCUUUCACUGUGAUAAUCACUCUACAGAUUAGGAAGUACAAGUUCUCUUUAGAGCAAGAAACCCUUGAGAUUGGAAGCUGUUCAAUUCCUCGGAUGACAAAGCCAGGGCAAGGCCAUCCAUGUUCACUAAUAAUUUAACAGAAAGUAAAUACCUUCUCUAUUUUAUGUAAAGCUGCCUUUACACCAAAGAUGGACAGAGCUGGCAAGCCUGCCUUCCUCAACACAUACAGAAGUGAAUAUGAGGCGUGGGGCCUGACCUUUUAAAGUCACAGAAGUUCUAGAAAAGAAUCACAUAGGAAUCCAUUGGGAAAAUUCCACUUGACAUUAAGUUUGCUGGACUGUGGGCUGAGAAGAUGUUUCUAGUGCUGAGACUACAGAGAUGUCGAGGGGACUGGUCAGGGCUCAUCUCGGGGGACCUGGAGGUCUGAGAGGAGGUGCUGCCCUCUCCUUACACUUCCUCCAUGAGGAGAGACCCAAGACCUUGUUCACGGGGUCAGGGCCAUCCUCUGAGUCGCCUUUACAGAGGUCACUGGGCCCCAGGAAUGGCUGAGGUCUCUGAGGAAGGAGCGUGGCCCCCGGCCCCAGACACACUCGCCGCCAAGUCACCUCCUCUGUUUCUCCGCAGACCCAGUGGCAAAGCCCAUCGUCGAAGCCAACAGCACCACCGUCACAGAACACGAGGACACCGUGGUCCUGAAAUGCCUCACAAAUGACACCGGGGUCGCCAUCUCCUGGUUCUUCAAUGGCCAGAGUCUACUGCUCACAGAGAGGAUGGAGCUGUCCCAGGACAACGGCACCCUCACCAUAGAGCCCGUCAGGAGGGAGGAUGCUGGGCAUUAUCAGUGCGAGGCCUCCCACCUGGGCAAUUCCAGCAAAAGUGACCCCCUCAGGCUGGAUGUGAAAUGUGAGUGACCCUACCUCCCCCACUUCCUCCACAUGUCCUUCACUGGCAGGGGUGAGGGACUGAAAGUGACGGCAGCCUUGAGGAGCUGGGCCCCUCCUUCAGAGCCUCUAGAGCAACGCGGAUGAGAAUGCGAAUGAGAAGAUUUUUAUAGUUUGGAUUCUGAUGUGCCCUAGAUGGUUGAUCUUCAGCAAGAUAGUCGACCACCUGAGCCUCAGUUUCCUCAUCAGUGAAACUGGACUAGAACAGCUGGAUCUUAGGCUGUGGUGAGGAUAUUUAAUGGGACGAAAGCUCUUCGUGUCAUACACAGAGCCAGGGCUCAAUAAAUGCUAUCAAGUAGCGUUACUGUUCUCAUUAACAUAGCUGUUAGGAGCUGUAAAUUCAAGCAGAACUUAGAUACAGUGGAACCACUUACCACUUCCGUGACCUCCACUGAUUUGUUUAAGCACUCUGCAGAUCAGACCUAUGCAUGCACGCUGGGAAUGAGCCCUCUCCCUCAUGGGGAUGGAUCAGAGGGGAGAGAUAUAAAGGAUUUCCCCCAUGCCAGCCACACGGCAGGACCUGAAAACAGUCAGCUAUUAUUAUUACUCAUCAGCGUUUAGUGGACUGUUGAGGGCCUGCCCUCUAAAACCAUCAAGAGUGAUGGAAAGGUGGAGUUCCCGUCGUGGCUUAGUGGUUGACAAAUCAUGACUAGGAACCAUGAUGAGGUUUCAGGUUUGAUCCCUGGCCUCGCUUAGUGGGUUAAGGAUCCAGUGUUGCCAUGAGCUAUGGUGAAGGUUGCAGAUGUGGCUCGAAUCCCGCAUUGCUGUGGCUCUGAUGGCAACAGCUCUGAUUAGACCCCUAGCCUGGGAACCUCCAUAUGCCACGAGUGCAGCCCUAGAAAAGG